UGAUUGAAUGUAAGUCACAUUCAGUACUAAGGAACUCACGUCUCAAUUCUGAGGAGCAUGUCGCAAGACCUGGAAACUUAAAGAAUUUGACGGAAAGGUCACCCCCAGGAGUGUGGAGCCUGCGGCUUAAUUUUGGACUCACACACCGGGGAAAACUUACCAGGUUCCAGAGCGUAUAUAAAAGGAUUGACCAGAUUGAAUAAGCUCCUCCCUGAAUCCAUAGGAGUGGGUGGGGGGCACAGGCCCCGUUUUUUAUAGUUUGGUGGGGAGAGAGAAUUGGCCGGGUAAUCCGAAUAACACAGAAAGAGGAGACACUUACCUGCUAACUUAGAUUCCAAAUUAUUCCGAAUUUUUGCGAUCUUUCUUAGGAGGGGACUAUUGUUAAUUAAAAAAUAACAUGGAAGUUUGAGGCCAAAUAAACAGGUCAGUGAUGCCCUUAUAUGUCCUGGGCUGCACGCGUGCUACACUGAUAUAUACAACAAGUGCCUAGCUAGAUAUAGUAUGGCAAUCUCGAAUAUAUAUCGUGAUGGGGAUAGAUCUUUGCAAUUAUAGAUCUUGAACGAGGAAUUCCUAGUAAGUGCAAGUCAUCAUCUUGCAUUGAUUAUGUCCCUGCCCUUUGUACACACCGCCCGUCGCUCCUACCGAUACCGGGUGAUCCCGGUGAACCUGUUGGACCCUUUUGGGAAAAAUAAGUAAAUCAUAUCACCUAGAGGAAGGAGAAGUCGUAACAAGGUUUCCGUAGUGAACCUGCAGAAGGAUCAUAAUCGGAUCCCGGGCGUUCAG
rnacentral:rRNA from 1 species